rnacentral:lncRNA from 1 species
GAAUUUCGGAUCGUAUCGGGUUAAAAAUAUAUCAAUCCGAAUCCGAUCCGAAUAUCAAAAAUAUUAAUAAAAAUAAUCCGGAAUCCGAUCCAAAUAUCCGAAAUCCGAAAUUGAACGGAUCGGUUUGGAUUUCGGAUAUCCGAUCCAAAUGAACAGCCCUAAUCUCUUCUACAUCAAUCUCAGAAUAGCAAAAUGGUUUUACUUGGUAUAAAUCAAUCAACUACAUCAUAGAGGCAUUUUUACAGCCUAUAAACAUGUUCAACUCUGACGUAUUAAAUGCCACAGACUUGAGGAUAUAAGAUAUGUGCAUAGAAAAGCGAAAGAUUAAAGAUACUAACCCAAAUAAGUACCAUUUUGUCUACAUUAUUGGACAUAAGAGUAGCAGAAAAUUACUUCAUCUCAAGAAACUGUAUAACUAUCAAAGUGAAACUAAUGUUCCAAAUGUAAAACAAUGACUCCAAGUUACAUUUAUUUUCACUCUGCAGGUAAAAUCCAAUCCCAGGAUCUUCUACAAUCGAGUUGCACGAGCUACCAAUACCUAAAGAAGCAGGCCACUCGAUUGGUUGAUCCCUAGGAACUGAGAAUGUUUAUACUUCUGUUCUUAUAUGGAAGUUCUCAACAUUCAAAGCAAGAAUCAACCAACAAGUUUACGAUGAUAAUGAGUUAUGUACUAGCCUCUUCCUCAGUGGCCAAGCUUUAAACCCCUGCAAAGAAUAGUUCAACCCACGCCAAUGAGGCCAAAUUGCUCCGAACAACUUACAAACUUUCUUUACACCCUCCUCAAAAGAAUUGAGAGACAUAGAAACUAAUAAGCAACUAACUCUCACUAAUCAAGACUUGAUAUCAAUUCAAUCACAUGAAAAUUUAACAAGAAAACUAGAAACACCAAUGAAGAUAGCAGCCAUGCAAAAGUAACUAUAUCUCAUAACUGCAAAAACACAAUUCAUUUUCUUUAGCACCCAAGGGUCUGGCCUAGUGGUCAAUGAAGUGGGUUGAGAACCAUGAAUUCUCAGGUUCAAAUUCCAGCAGAGACAACACUAAUUAAUUUCUUCUCAUUUAUCCAAGCCUCGGUGGAUAGAGUUACAUAUUGUUGGUGGGAGGUGCCAGGAAUCCCGUGAAACUAGUCAAGGUACGCGCAAGCUGGCCCGAACACCAUGUUAUAGAAAAAACAACUCAUUUUCUUCAUACUAUUUUUCUUGUUUUGGUAUGGUGAACCCCAUAAUCGCAAUCCCUCUUCCCCAACCCAACCCCCAAACAAAAACUUCGCAGGAGUCUAGCAGCUCCUUUUCUUUUAUACUAUUUAUCUUGUUAUGAUAUAGAGAAACUUUGCAUCAGGCAAUGCCUCCCUUGAACCCAUUUACUAACUUAUGUACGUGUUACAAGUAAGUGAGAGUUGCUCAUUCACUAUAAAAAUGCGAACUUUACCAAUUUGAUCCAAGUAUUUACAAAAUUGAACAGCCUAUAUGUUUGACAUAGCAAUAUGCAAAUGCAGCCACCAAAACAUGAAUAAAGGGGUAAAGCAUAAAGUUCAGGAAGUAACAACGGACCUCUUCUUGAAUCAUUAUCAUCCAAAAGUCUCUGAACUCUCUUCUUAGCACAGUAUUGCCUAUCAAAAUGCUUUACCUAUACAUACCAAAAAAGACACAAAUAAACACCAAUGCACCAAGAAAAAAACUACUCCCUCCGUCCCAGUUUCUGUGAGAGUGUUUGCCUGGACAC